GCCUCUAUGGCGCAGUGGUAACGCGGUAUGAUACAUCUAUAGCCGGACUUUGAAUGCGAAGAUCACAAGUUCAAUUCUUGUUGGAGGCA
rnacentral:tRNA from 1 species